rnacentral:misc_RNA from 1 species
GUGCAUCAGCAGUAGUGCAGUACGUGUAUACGGGUUAAGCUACAAAGCUUACAAAGCCAUUGAGUUACUUUCUGAAAUUCUGAGUGCUAGUUUUCAAAAUGUCCACUUGUAAAUGGAAAGGGUCCUACGACAGUGGUAGAAAAUAUAAAAAAUCAUGGGAAGAAAAAUACGUGUGGGUUAGUAGAGCCAGUGAUGGAAGUGAAAAUGUUUAUUGCAACGUUUGUAGAAUACAGAUAGCUCCCAAAGCAUCUCGUUUGGCAGAUCACGAAAAAUCGAAACGGCACUCAAGCAGAGUAGGUGUAUCGUGUGUGAACAGGGCGCUGCCUGUGAUGACCGCUCCAAGGAAACGGGACAGUGAGAACAAGAAACGUGUCAAGUUAGAGAAAGCGGUGGCUCUAUCUUGUCACUGUUCAACAGCAAGUGUAGACCAUCUUGGGGAAAUGAUGGAGAAGAACGAUAAAGGAAGUGAACUAGAGAAUCUGCAGCUCCAUCGUAAGUGCAAUGAGAUGCUGGUCAACCCUCGCAGUGAGUACAGGGUCACACGACGCUACCAUGGCAAAAUUAAGGCCGCCAUCUUUGACUGGGCAGGAACAGUGAUUGAUUGUGGUGUGUUCUCUGCUGCUGAGACCUUUAUUGAACUGUUUAUAGAGGAGGGUGUGAAUGUGACUAAUGAGGAGGCCAGGGGACCCAUGGGUAUGCACAAGCGAGCCCACAUAUGCAAGAUGUUGGAGGUGGAGAGAGUGCGAGCACGGUGGUUGAAGGCCAAGGAUGGCCCUCCUACCUCAGCUGAUGUUGACCGCAUGUAUGCGAAGUUUGUUCCCAAAAAUAUAGCAGCAUUGCAAAAGCACUCCAUGUUGAUUGAUGGUACAGUGGAAGCUGUAGAUAAGCUACGGGGGAUGGGUAUCAAAAUAGGGUCGUGCACAGGCUACCCCUCAACCAUUGUGGAAAAGCUUAAACCCUUUGCUGCUAAACAGGGCUAUGUCCCUGAUGCUAUUGUUGCUGCUGAUGAGGUGCCACAAGCCAGACCUAUGCCCUACAUGGUAUGGUUGAAUGCAAUCCGCAUGGACGUGAGCCCUAUUGAGGCGAUAGUGAAGGUGGAUGAUACUGUGGAUGGUAUUAAGGAGGGUCUGACUGCUGGCUGUUGGACCAUAGCUGUUGCAAAGACGGGGAAUUACAUGGCAGCAUCACAGCAUGAGCUGAACAUAAUGCCACACGAGGAGCUGGAGAGAAAGCUGACAAGGUCUUACGAGAUCCUCCAUGAUGCUGGCAGCCACUAUGUAGUCGAUUCCAUCAAAGAUGUGCCUGCUGUUGUGAGGGAUAUUAACAGGCGGCUGGCUGCUGGAGAGAGGCCUUGAACCAUUCCAAUGGUGUUGAAAGACAAGAAGUGGGGAGAGUAGCAGUUUGUGAGGUAAAGAGAAGGAAUAUAAACUAAACAUGGUCAGGGAGAUAUGAAGGACACCUUUAAAUAAAUAAUAUUCUCUCUACUGAGUGAUAUUAACUUCUUUAUUGUAUGAUUCUUUAGCUAAAAUACCAUAUAACCUCAGAAAGAGAAACAGAAAUCCACCCCUUUUGGGAAAAAAAUCAUUGCAGAAAAAAACUUGGCAUUGCCAGUUCACAACCAAAUUUCAAAUUAAAAAAUAUUUUAUUGUCAUGAAAAUGGCAGGCACAUUGUUUGAAAACAACAGAUACAUUAUUUACAUUCCAAUAUCAUUAACUGUACUCAUAUUACACUAAUCAAGUAUUUCAUGACAAUAAGGACAAUGAGAUAUUACCUGGUACUGGUACAGUAUAUGUGUCCUCAUCUCAUAUUUGGUAACAAAAUUAAGUACUGUAUGCUUGGAUAUGUGAGAAAAUUUUACCAAGAUUACCUGUAUAGUCAGCCUAAGGUAUUCACAGUCAUCAUAAUAAAAAAGACUUGCAAUCACUUAAUACAUACAGUAUACCUUUACUCUUCUUUUGUAUGUACAGAAAUUAAUGAACAUUCGUUUUGUAUUUUUCCUGAUAAACAAUUCUAUAUUUGUACUUUUUUAUCUGUGAAAGUUUUAUACACCAUACUUGUCCUACAGCUCUGUAUACUCUAUAUAAGUGACUUGUUUUUCUUGUGGAAUAUAAUUGAAUUUUCUAAUUUGUUUUGAAAAUAUUAUUGAAGACUGUCAGUACAAUGUCCUUGAUAAAUAUAAAUGUUAUUUCACGCCAUACAGUAUAGACCAGGGGUGUCAAACUCAUGGUCUGCGGGCCAAAUGUGGCCCUUGGGAUGGUCAGGUGUGGCCCGCGGCAACGCGGCAUGACAGUAAAAUUCAUCAUCCCGUGAAAUUAUGAAAGAAAUAGAUAUAAUCAUGUUUAUUUAGUAAAAUGAAUUUUACAUACUUAAGAUAGGACAAACCCAAAUGAGGUAUUCCUGGUAAGCCAGGUAAGGCAAUGUGUGAAACUGUAAACUUCAAUCCUGCAAAUAUGUGAUAUAGCACUUGUGUUGGGCCUGAAGAGGGUAACUAAAAUAAGAAUUGGCCCUUGAAAGGUUUUGAGUUUGACACCACUGGUGUAAGACUUAGAUUUUUGGUGGUUUUGUGCCAAAAAUUAAAUUUUCCUGAAAAUCACAGUAUAGGUACAACUGAGCUUGCUGAUGAAUAUGUGGGAAAUGAUUCGAUUGCAGAGUAAUUAGUGGCCAAAAUGACCCUUGAAAGAUUUUACUGACAUUUUCACUGCUAAUUACUCAUCAACUAUGGGUUUCCAAGGUGUGAUUUAGGGUAUAUAAAUGAACAAAAUAUACUGUACUGUACUGUACUCACCAGCAGAUGGUGUUGUUUUGUGCUUGUGAUGCAGGCAGGCCAAAUGGUGGUAUAAUGAUACAGGAUGGCCUGCCUUUGUCCUGUAUCAUUUACUGUAGCUGCUGUUGCUAAUUGUCGAUCCUCUCCCUCCAUGAAGGGAUUGUACAUGCACUGUAUAGUAUACUGUACAGUACAUACACCUCUACACACUAGCCUAAAGUAGGCUUACAGUACUCACUGCUGAUUGUACAGUACACUACAGUGUAUAUGUAACUGUAAUCACUUUUUUAUGUCUUAACACUGCUUUAAUACUAUUAUUGACUGAUUGUGUCCUGGUACAGUAAUAUACACUGUACAUACUGUACAGUACUGCACAACACAGAUUGUAUGCAAAAACAGCAGCUAACAAGGGAACAACCUUGUACAAUAUCAACAGAAUAUGAACUAAGCAUACAAGUUACCCAAGCAGCUAACCCACCUAUGCUCGGAAUGUAGAGUUUUCCCGGAAGUUUUCCACCUAUUGGAGAGUUCUGGGGAAUCAGGAUUCUGCCUUACGGGAGGAUUACUAUAUAUACAAAGAUAUUUCAAACCCUUCAGUAAUGGGUAUUUGUUAUGAUUUCUUGUCUUCAUUCCUGAGAAGUACUGCACACCAACACUUCAAAUUCAAAUGGUUAUGUCUGUGAUAAUAAUACAAUUCUCCGGAGCUGGUAAGUAUUCCUGCAAGGGGACGACACAGCCCCUUUUGCAGUACUGUAUCUUACAGCUGAAAAGAUAAAAAUAAAAAGUACUGUAUACUG